UAAUUGUUCACCAGAGAAAUUAUUCCACACAAAUACAGUACCAUUCCUAA
rnacentral:precursor_RNA from 1 species